UACCAUGCAGUCGAACGGUGAAGCAGAGCUUGCUCUGUGGAUCAGUGGCGAACGGGUGAGUAACACGUGAGCAACCUGCCCCUGACUCUGGGAUAAGCGCUGGAAACGGCGUCUAAUACUGGAUAUGUGACGUGACCGCAUGGUCUGCGUCUGGAAAGAAUUUCGGUUGGGGAUGGGCUCGCGGCCUAUCAGCUUGUUGGUGAGGUAAUGGCUCACCAAGGCGUCGACGGGUAGCCGGCCUGAGAGGGUGACCGGCCACACUGGGACUGAGACACGGCCCAGACUCCUACGGGAGGCAGCAGUGGGGAAUAUUGCACAAUGGGCGGAAGCCUGAUGCAGCAACGCCGCGUGAGGGAUGACGGCCUUCGGGUUGUAAACCUCUUUUAGCAGGGAAGAAGCGAAAGUGACGGUACCUGCAGAAAAAGCGCCGGCUAACUACGUGCCAGCAGCCGCGGUAAUACGUAGGGCGCAAGCGUUAUCCGGAAUUAUUGGGCGUAAAGAGCUCGUAGGCGGUUUGUCGCGUCUGCUGUGAAAUCCGGAGGCUCAACCUCCGGCCUGCAGUGGGUACGGGCAGACUAGAGUGCGGUAGGGGAGAUUGGAAUUCCUGGUGUAGCGGUGGAAUGCGCAGAUAUCAGGAGGAACACCGAUGGCGAAGGCAGAUCUCUGGGCCGUAACUGACGCUGAGGAGCGAAAGGGUGGG
rnacentral:rRNA from 1 species